AAAAAUACUGAGAAAAGUAUAUGGCCCGGUGCAAGCAGAAGACGGCACAUGGAGAAUCAGUAGAAACAACGAGGUUAAUAAAUUGAAUGAAGGUUACGAUAUUGUACAAUUUGUGAAAAGUCAAAGACUGUCAUGGCUGGGACAUGUGCAGAGAAAAGACAAUGAAUAAACAACAA
rnacentral:lncRNA from 1 species